UACGGGGGGAGCAAGCGUUGUUCGGAUUUACUGGGCGUAAAGGGCGCGUAGGCGGUCGUGACAAGUCACUUGUGAAAUCUCCGGGCUUAACUCGGAACGGUCAAGUGAUACUGUCGGACUAGAGUACAGAAGGGGCAACUGGAAUUCUCGGUGUAGCGGUGAAAUGCGUAGAUAUCGAGAGGAACACCUGCGGCGAAGGCGGGUUGCUGGGCUGAUACUGGCGCUGAGGCGCGAAAGCCAGGGGAGCGAACGGG
rnacentral:rRNA from 1 species